UCACCAUCUGGAGGAGAACCACCGCCAGCUAGAAACACCCAUUUCUGCGUGUUCUUUGAGAAACAAACAGAGGAUCCCUGAAGAGCCACUCUAUGUGUUUAUGAGGAUGCUCCUUAACAGCAACCAGCAUUUCCCUAGCUGCUGCAUUUUGAUUCCAAAGCAAUCAGAUUUGGGGAUCAGAUUGGGAUCAGAUCCCCAUUUGGGAUCACAUUUGCUGCAUUUAAAAGUGACUCCAAAUCUGUCAGCCAGGAAACUUCACGAGUCCCUGAAUAUUUGAAGACUGAAUUUCUCUGAGCAUGUGCUGUGAAAAUGAACAUACGUGAGAGCAAAGAAAUGUAGGUGAGUCAGAGUGAAGAAUGUAUGCCUUGAUCCUAGGAGGUGACCUUUCUACUGUGCUGCUUUCCUGGGUAAACAAAGAAAUUGUCGAGAUGUCCAUGUUUCUGGAGUGGAUUAAGUGUCUAAAUAUAGGACAGAAACACAUGGUGCGGUGGAGAGGACAGCAACCUAUUGGCUCCUUGGCUUGAGAUCUAAGACUCACUUUGCCACCAGCUGCCCGUUCAGCCUCAAGCACGUCAAUUCUCCACUCUGGGCCCCUUUUUUCUCGUCUGCCAUCCAAGCACUUUGUAAUGGAUGCACUGUGACCCCCCUCCUAAGAGCACUAGCAAUUAUCGACCAAUGACUGUUGGCUAAGUGAGGAGCUUAUGCUCUAGGAGCUAAUGAAGAGGCUCGUGGUUCUUCUAAGAAUGAUCUUUUUCAUCUGAAAUAAAAUGUCCUUUAAUACCAA